rnacentral:rRNA from 1 species
CCUACGGGAGGCAGCAGUGAGGAAUAUUGGUCAAUGGUCGGGAGACUGAACCAGCCAAGCCGCGUGAGGGAUUAAGGUACAGCGUAUCGUAAACCUCUUUUGUCAGGGAACAAAUGCGGGGACGUGUCCCCGGAUGAGAGUACCUGAAGAACAAGCAGCGCCAAACUCCGUGCAAGCAGCCGCGGUAAUACGGAGGAUGCGAGCGUUUUCCGGAUUUGUGGGGUGUCAGGGGUGGGCAGGUGGUCUGUUAAGUCAGCGGUAAAAGCCCGGGGCUAAACCCCGGCCCGCAGAUGAAACUGGGAGUCUCGAGUAGGAGAGGGGGAUGCGGAAUGCGCGGUGUAGCAGUGAAAUGCAUAGAUAUCGAGAAGAACUCCGGUUGCGAAGGCAGGAUGCCGGCU